GACACGACUCUCGGCAACGGAUAUCUCGGCUCUCGCAUCGAUGAAGAACGUAGCAAAAUGCGAUACCUGGUGUGAAUUGCAGAAUCCCGCGAACCAUCGAGUUUUUGAACGCAAGUUGCGCCCGAGGCCUUCUGGCCGAGGGCACGUCUGCCUGGGCGUCACGC
rnacentral:rRNA from 9 species